rnacentral:rRNA from 1 species
CAGUCGCCGCGGGAACACAGAGGGUGCAAGCGUUAAUCGGAAUUACUGGGCGUAAAGCGCGCGUAGGUGGUUUGUUAAGUUGGAUGUGAAAGCCCCGGUCUCAACCUGGGAACUGCAUCCAAAACUGGCAAGCUAGAGUACGGUAGAGGGUGGUGGAAUUUCCUGUGUAGCGGUGAAAUGCGUAGAUAUAGGAAGGAACACCAGUGGCGAAGGCGACCACCUGGACUGAUACUGACACUGAGGUGCGAAAGCGUGGGGAGCAAACAGGAUUAGAGACCCCGGUAGUCCCUGUCUCUUAUAC